GAUGAACGCUGGCGGCGUGCCUAAUACAUGCAAGUCGAGCGAACGGACGAGAAGCUUGCUUCUCUGAUGUUAGCGGCGGACGGGUGAGUAACACGUGGAUAACCUACCUAUAAGACUGGGAUAACUUCGGGAAACCGGAGCUAAUACCGGAUAAUAUUUUGAACCGCAUGGUUCAAAAGUGAAAGACGGUCUUGCUGUCACUUAUAGAUGGAUCCGCGCUGCAUAGCUAGUUGGUAAGGUAACGGCUUACCAAGGCAACGAUGCAUAGCCGACCUGAGAGGGUGAUCGGCCACACUGGAACUGAGACACGGUCCAGACUCCUACGGGAGGCAGCAGUAGGGAAUCUUCCGCAAUGGGCGAAAGCCUGACGGAGCAACGCCGCGUGAGUGAUGAAGGUCUUCGGAUCGUAAAACUCUGUUAUUAGGGAAGAACAUAUGUGUAAGUAACUGUGCACAUCUUGACGGUACCUAAUCAGAAAGCCACGGCUAACUACGUGCCAGCAGCCGCGGUAAUACGUAGGUGGCAAGCGUUAUCCGGAAUUAUUGGGCGUAAAGCGCGCGUAGGCGGUUUUUUAAGUCUGAUGUGAAAGCCCACGGCUCAACCGUGGAGGGUCAUUGGAAACUGGAAAACUUGAGUGCAGAAGAGGAAAGUGGAAUUCCAUGUGUAGCGGUGAAAUGCGCAGAGAUAUGGAGGAACACCAGUGGCGAAGGCGACUUUCUGGUCUGUAACUGACGCUGAUGUGCGAAAGCGUGGGGAUCAAACAGGAUUAGAUACCCUGGUAGUCCACGCCGUAAACGAUGAGUGCUAAGUGUUAGGGGGUUUCCGCCCCUUAGUGCUGCAGCUAACGCAUUAAGCACUCCGCCUGGGGAGUACGACCGCAAGGUUGAAACUCAAAGGAAUUGACGGGGACCCGCACAAGCGGUGGAGCAUGUGGUUUAAUUCGAAGCAACGCGAAGAACCUUACCAAAUCUUGACAUCCUUUGACAACUCUAGAGAUAGAGCCUUCCCCUUCGGGGGACAAAGUGACAGGUGGUGCAUGGUUGUCGUCAGCUCGUGUCGUGAGAUGUUGGGUUAAGUCCCGCAACGAGCGCAACCCUUAAGCUUAGUUGCCAUCAUUAAGUUGGGCACUCUAAGUUGGCUGCCGGUGACAAACCGGAGGAAGGUGGGGAUGACGUCAAAUCAUCAUGCCCCUUAUGAUUUGGGCUACACACGUGCUACAAUGGACAAUACAAAGGGCAGCGAAACCGCGAGGUCAAGCAAAUCCCAUAAAGUUGUUCUCAGUUCGGAUAGUAGUCUGCAACUCGACUACAUGAAGCUGGAAUCGCUAGUAAUCGUAGAUCAGCAUGCUACGGUGAAUACGUUCCCGGGUCU
rnacentral:rRNA from 1 species